rnacentral:misc_RNA from 1 species
GAUGAAGAACGUAGCGAAAUGCGAUACGUAAUGUGAAUUGCAGAAUUCAGUGAAUCAUCGAAUCUUUGAACGCACAUUGCGCUCUCUGGUAUUCCGGAGAGCAUGCUUGUUUGAGUAUCAGUAAACACCUCAACUUCCAUAUCUUUUUUGAAAUGGGAGUUGGACUUGAGUGAUCCCAACGCUUUUCCUCACCGAAAAGUGGCGGGUUACUUGAAAUGCAGGUGCAGCUGGACUUUUCUCUGAGCUAUAAGCAUAUCUAUUUAGUCUGCCUAAAAACAGAUUAUUACCUUUGCUGCAGCUAACAUAAAGGAGAUUAGUUCUUGUGCUGACUGAUGCAGGAUUCACAAAGACAGGCUUCGGCCGACUUUGUAAACUCGAUCUCAAAUCAAGUAAGACUACCCGCUGAACUUAAGCAUAUCAAUAAGCGGAGGA